UCCGAGUUGACCCCGGCAGUCUCCUAUGAGUCCCCACCAUUACGUGCUGGCAACAUAGAACGAGGGUUGCGCUCGUUGCGGGACUUAACCCAACAUCUCACGACACGAGCUGACGACAGCCAUGCAGCACCUGUGUGUAGGUCCCGUAAGGGAAGGAAUCCAUCUCUGGAAGCCGUCCUACCAUGUCAAACGCUGGUAAGGUUCUUCGCGUUGCCUCGAAUUAAACCACAUGUUCCACCGCUUGUGCGGGUCCCCGUCAAUUUCUUUGAGUUUUAGCCUUGCGGCCGUACUUCCCAGGCGGGGCACUUAAUGCGUUAGCUACGGCACGGAGCCCGUCGAUCGAGCCCCACACCUAGUGCCCAACGUUUACGGCGUGGACUAC
rnacentral:misc_RNA from 1 species